GGAUAAAUACUUUAUACAGAAGAAUUAGUUUGCAUCUAAUAAGAGAUUUAUUAUCUUUUUCCA
rnacentral:tRNA from 1 species